AAACACACUACCAUGUAUGGAAACAGAUGAUUUCCUAGCCAACAGCAAAGAGGCAGUUAGUGCUGAGUAUGUGUAUCCUGUGCACAGGUGAAGAAGAGCUGAAGAACAUUGAGUAUCUUGGCGUCUCUGUGUGGACCACAAACUCCAUCGUGACUGUGAAGACCAACUGCGAGUUUCUGCAGUGACAGAAUAUCGGAUACACACUGAGGGGAAAGCAAGUUGACAUCUCUGACAAACAGGACUAUGGAGGAGAAGUGCUGCAUUGCUUCCUAUGUUCUGAUUGCCGUUCUGAUUAUUGUUGCGAUUGCUGUUGUGAUUGUUUGCAUCAAAUGGUGCUGCAAAGAUCACUGCUACUCCGAAGCUGCUGUAGCAGCCGACGCUGAGGAAAGUUCUGAGAUCGGCAGGUAGGACCUUCACUCACAAUAUGAUAAAAAUUACUGUUAGUCAUUAUUCCUGUUAUUAGCAGCAUAUUAUUUUCAGUACAUCAUCUACAUUAAACCCAGUGUAACCCAGUGAGGGUUUAGUUAUUCACUCAGGGGCAGUUACUAUUCCUGAUUAGUUUCUGGGUUUAAAGGCGAGUGUUUGUGUCUCUGAUUAAGAUGCAUCUCCACCGUGGUCCUCGGUGUGAACUCCACCCACAUGUGCAUAACUCUCAUGUAAAUUCUGAAUAGAGUCAACCUAGUUACAUCACAAUAGUUUUUUUUUUAUAUUUGAUGAUAUCAAGUCACUAUUAAUAUCA